rnacentral:lncRNA from 1 species
CUUAAGGUAAUAAACUGGGAGUUCAAUCGCUGCACAGCAUAAUCGAGGCCAGAUCACAAGCUGGGAUCAGCCAUCAGCCGAGGGGCCAGGUGGCUUCUCCGUGUUCUGUGGUCAACGACCUCCUGUGCGGCGUGUGCUUGGUCAUAAAGGAACAGGUGUGACAGGUGGGUAAGUCACUGUGACAGCUACCCACACACAGACAAGCACAUUCUCAAAGCACAUAUCCCUCUGACCUCAAAUCCACACACCAAGGGAAACAGACCUAGUGAGAGUUUUCUUAAAAAUAAUUUCAAAGAGCUGGCUUGAAUUAAAAUUUAAAAAUGAAUUAAAGUCUUUUGAUUCCCUUGUCAGAAAAGGACUUUGUGUUUAGUCUCCUGAUCUGCAGAAGGAUACGCCCCUCACCGGAGGGGGCCAUGGAAAGUUGGCUCACUGCUUGUGACUCCCUGAGGUGGCGUGGGGCGUGAGCAAGAGCCUGGGCUCUGUGGUCUGACACAGCUCUGAGCGCCUCUCCCGCCACCUGUCAGAUGUGCGACCUCGGAAAUCUUACAGCAAAUCAGGCUGCUAAGCCUCAGAAAACACAAGGCUCUUCCAAAUUUCAGAGUACAACAAUGUGAUGGGGUCAGAAGAGAAAAUGCUGUAGAGCAAUGGGAAAGGGAAACCUGUAGAAACUGGCGUUGGACAAGAGAGCAAAGUUCAGGGAGAAAUUCUCUCCCAUACUGGCAACCAAAACAAGACUCACCCUGAAUCUGACACAGCUGGUCCACUCAGUCCCUUCCACCUCAGUGACUUUUAAGGGUCACAAAAAGCUCUUCAGGCUGAACUAAGCAAAUCUCGGGAAAGUUCAGGAAAAAGAUGCAGUGACCGACACACUUUGUCUUGGUCAUGCCGUCGCUAGCCAUCUCUCCUCAGAAAAGCAUUCCUCUAGUUCGAGGGAUGAGCUGACAGGAAACAAGUUUUAAGUCAAAUCAAAU